AGGUGUGUCAAGGAUGAUCCGGGAACAGCAAAAUGAAAGUCAGAAUGCACUGGGAUAGUUCUAAAGGGGUUUUACUUUUUCCUCAAACAUAACCUAAUUCCUGACCUGGCUGUCUCUGAUUUACGACACUGGCCCGGAGGCUGAAACAAGCCCAAACAGACCCCCUUUGGUCUGGACGCAUGGCCCCACACGAUGGCCCAGCUGGUCAUGCAGCUAUCAGAGACUGUGGUAUUUGAGCUGGAGCGAGGAGGGGAGUUAGGAGCUGCCCAGCACACUGUGCUCAUAUCAAAGAGGACUUCCUUCACAACACACCUCCCAUCCUGUCACACACACAAACACACACCAACAACAACCUCUGACUUUCUUUUGCCCUCAUUGUAUGAGAGUGGGUUUGAGUGUCCAAAAAAGCAGCCAUUACAGUGGAGUGAGAGUUUUCGAUUUCAUCAUGUGGGCUAGGGUCAGGAGGAAAUUGUACUAAGCAAUACAUCAAUGACACACUUGAAAAACACACAACUAACUAACAAAAUAGUAUUUCAGACAACUUUCCCAACCCCCCAUUAGGUUCUAAAAGGCCAGACUUGACGUUUCGGGGAAUGUUUUAAUAGUAUAAAAAAAAUAUGUGCAUUACAAGGGAUACUCUAACUGUCAUCGUGGCUAAACAGAGAGCAAUUUUCAUUUUGUCUUAUUUGGAAUUAUUAGAAACUGACAGCAUCACCCACUGUAGAAUAUGAAUGUGUAUACUAAUUUAGUCAAUAAAAAAUUAUUGUCUUAGCAUAUAGAAAAUAUUAUUAUUGUUGAAAAGAAUAGUUGAAUGAUAAAUAGUUGAUAAAAGGCUUAUUAUUGUUACAUUACUUUUAGAUAACACUUUUUAAUCAUUGAUCUGGUCUCUAUCGCCCUCUAUUGGCUAUAAACAUUUACAUUGUUGUUAUAGAAUUCUCUUACCAGCAGGGGGACCUGCAAAGCAAUUUAUAGGACUGGCAUGUAUCUGUCAAUGGUUCCUUUUCUAUGGUUGAUUGAAAUCAUGUGGUAUUGAAAGUGGCUUGUUAGUGGAAGGCAGCAUGUGGGAUUUCAGUAUGCGCAGGCAGAAUCAUUAUUUGAGAUGCACGCACAUUACAUUUUCCCAUAAAUCAUUGAAAUGAUAUCAAUUACAGAUGUGUGCAAAAGUUUGGGCAACAGAAGCAUUUAGAUUCUGCCCUGCAGUUCCAAUGUCUUACCACUAACAGGGGUUGAAGCCAGUGCUAUACUAUGCUUGUAUCAGGCAUGUCUUGGCCAUGGAAGUUACAGAGAAACCUGCUCACUGCAAAGCCAUGGAAACACAAUGUUUAUCUUGUUUGUUUGUGUGUGUGUGUGUGUGUGUGUGUGUGUGUGUGUGUGUGUGUGUGU